rnacentral:lncRNA from 1 species
UCCUCCUCGGUCUCCCCACCUUUCAGAUUCUGAGCAGGCUUGAGCUGGGGGGCUGGGCCCCACCCACUGACCCUGCUGUGGCCCCAGAAGGCUUGGAUUUGCCCACCUGCCCCAGAGAGUCUCCCCAAAGCUGGGGUGUUCUGUGGGGGGAGGGGCAGAGCCUGCGCAGGGCCACACUCGCCCCCACCCGUGGGGAGGACGACAUGUUAGUCACACGACCCCAACGGGCCUCUCGGGAGCAGUGAGGAGGCCCAGAGCACGUCCAGCGGCCGGACCUGUCCUGGGGCCGAGCUGACCGGGACGCUUACGUGGGGUGUUGGGCUUCCCCACCACCCUGGGCUGGGACAGGCCCACACAGGAAGCGCCGCUGCUGGGGGAGGCUUCCUGGGGGGGGGAGGCCUGGGGGGGUUAGGCUUUGGGGAUGGACGUGAGAACAGACAGGGCUGCCAGGAGCUGGGUUUGAAUCCCACCUUCGUUGCUCAGCCGGGAGGCUCCUGGACUGGGUUCCUCUGAGGGAUGGUCUCGUGCCCGCCUGGCCCCAGGGGGCAGAAGGCCUUGGGCCUCCUUCCUCCCCCAGGAGGCCCCAUUCUGCCCAGGAGCCCUCACCGGGGGCUGUUCUCGGGCACGGAGGACCCAGAGCUCGGGCCGCCCGCCUUGAGAGGCGAGAGAUGGGCCGGGGAGGGGUUGGGGAGCCCCCGGGCCGCGGGGUCACCCUGGGCCUGCUCCUGCAGGUGGACAAGCUGGACGCCUCGGAGAGCCUGCGGAGGGACGAGGAGCAGGGGGCGGAGCCGGCGCCCAUCGUGUUCGGCCAGCAGCUGAUGCUGACGGCGGGCCCCACUGCGGCGCCUUCUCAGGGCGCCUUCUCCUACGGCUACGGGGCUCCGGCCUUCCCCCAGGCCCCCGUUUACAGCUUCAACAUGUAGCGGGGGCUCCGCGGGGCCCCCUCCCCGCCCGUCCACCUGGCCGUCGCGUGGCAGCGCUUCCCGAGGAGCCGCUCUGUUAUUUAUUGUCUCUAACGCUCUGUCGCCUCCCGGCCGGCCGCCCGCAGGGCCCUUCCUGCCCCAGCCGCGGGGAGCCGGCGGCCCCUUCCCACUUCCAGCUCUGCGGCCGGGGAGCCCCCAUCCCAUCCGGGGCGCAGAGACUGCCUUAUCUGCCCCUUCCCUGUCUGCGCUGGCGUCCCAGAAGAGCGCGUGGCCGGAGGCUGAAGGAAAGAAGAGGGAGGCAGGGAGUCUUGGAGGUGGCCGUCUCCGGUGCGUAGGUCAUUGGUCAGAGUCGGCUGCUUGGGGUGGCGUGUUGUGGGGUAGGGCCCCGGCCCCCCCUCGGGUCGGGCCGCCCCCGCCUUGCCUGCGGUCUGGUUCCUGUGGGCCC